UAGGGAAUCUUCGGCAAUGGGGGCAACCCUGACCGAGCAACGCCGCGUGAGUGAAGAAGGUUUUCGGAUCGUAAAGCUCUGUUGUAAGUCAAGAACGAGUGUGAGAGUGGAAAGUUCACACUGCGACGGUAGCUUACCAGAAAGGGACGGCUAACUACGUGCCAGCAGCCGCGGUAAUACGUAGGUCCCGAGCGUUGUCCGGAUUUAUUGGGCGUAAAGCGAGCGCAGGCGGUUUGAUAAGUCUGAAGUUAAAGGCUGUGGCUCAACCAUAGUUCGCUUUGGAAACUGUCAAACUUGAGUGCAGAAGGGGAGAGUGGAAUUCCAUGUGUAGCGGUGAAAUGCGUAGAUAUAUGGAGGAACACCGGUGGCGAAAGCGGCUCUCUGGUCUGUAACUGACGCUGAGGCUCGAAAGCGUGGGGAGCGAACAGGAUUAGAUACCCUGGUAGUCCACGCCGUANCGAUGAGUGCUAGGUGUUGGAUCCUUUCCGGGAUUCAGUGCCGCAGCUAACGCAUUAAGCACUCCGCCUGGGGAGUACNACCGCAAGGNU
rnacentral:rRNA from 1 species